rnacentral:rRNA from 1 species
AACGAACGCUGGCGGCAUGCCUAACACAUGCAAGUCGAACGAGUGCCUUCGGGUGCUAGUGGCGCACGGGUGCGUAACGCGUGGGAAUCUGCCCUUGAGUUCGGAAUAACCGUUGGAAACGACGGCUAAUACCGGAUGAUGUCGAUAAGACCAAAGAUUUAUCGCCUGAGGAUGAGCCCGCGUAGGAUUAGCUAGUUGGUGUGGUAAGAGCGCACCAAGGCGACGAUCCUUAGCUGGUCUGAGAGGAUGAUCAGCCACACUGGGACUGAGACACGGCCCAGACUCCUACGGGAGGCAGCAGUGGGGAAUAUUGGACAAUGGGCGCAAGCCUGAUCCAGCAAUGCCGCGUGAGUGAUGAAGGCCUUAGGGUUGUAAAGCUCUUUUACCCGGGAUGAUAAUGACAGUACCGGGAGAAUAAGCUCCGGCUAACUACGUGCCAGCCGCCGCCGUAAAAC